rnacentral:rRNA from 1 species
AGUGAACGCUGGCGGUAGGCCUAACACAUGCAAGUCGAACGGCAGCACAGGAAAGCUUGCUCUCUGGGUGGCGAGUGGCGGACGGGUGAGGAAUACAUCGGAAUCUACUCUGUCGUGGGGGAUAACGUAGGGAAACUUACGCUAAUACCGCAUACGACCUACGGGUGAAAGCAGGGGACCUUCGGGCCUUGCGCGAUUGAAUGAGCCGAUGUCGGAUUAGCUAGUUGGCGGGGUAAAGGCCCACCAAGGCGACGAUCCGUAGCUGGUCUGAGAGGAUGAUCAGCCACACUGGAACUGAGACACGGUCCAGACUCCUACGGGAGGCAGCAGUGGGGAAUAUUGGACAAUGGGCGCAAGCCUGAUCCAGCCAUACCGCGUGGGUGAAGAAGGCCUUCGGGUUGUAAAGCCCUUUUGUUGGGAAAGAAAUCCAGCUGGCUAAUACCCGGUUGGGAUGACGGUACCCAAAGAAUAAGCACCGACUAACUUCGUGCAGCCGCCGCGGUAA